rnacentral:rRNA from 1 species
GAAGCGCAUAAGUUUGAUUCUUCGGAUGAAGAUUUAUGCGACUGACCUUCGGACGGGUGUAUAACGCGUGGGUAACCUGCCUUACACAGGGGGAUAACAGUUAGAAAUGACUGCUAAUACCGCAUAAGACCCCGGUACCGCAUGGUACAGAGGUAAAAACUGAGGUGGUGUAAGAUGGACCCGCGUCUGAUUAGGUAGUUGGUGAGGUAACGGCUCACCAAGCCGACGAUCAGUAGCCGGCCUGAGAGGGUGGACGGCCACAUUGGGACUGAGACACGGCCCAGACUCCUACGGGAGGCAGCAGUGGGGAAUAUUGCACAAUGGGGGAAACCCUGAUGCAGCGACGCCGCGUGAGCGAUGAAGUAUUUCGGUAUGUAAAGCUCUAUCAGCAGGGAAGAAAAUGACGGUACCUGACUAAGAAGCCCCGGCUAACUACGUGCCAGCAGCCGCGGUAAUACGUAGGGGGCAAGCGUUAUCCGGAUUUACUGGGUGUAAAGGGAGCGUAGACGGCAUGGCAAGCCAGAUGUGAAAUACCGGGGCUCAACCCCGGGACUGCAUUUGGAACUGUUAAGCUGGAGUGUCGGAGAGGCAGGCGGAAUUCCUAGUGUAGCGGUGAAAUGCGUAGAUAUUAGGAGGAACACCAGUGGCGAAGGCGGCCUGCUGGACGAUAACUGACGUUGAGGCUCGAAAGCGCGGGGAGCAAACAGGAUUAGAUACCCUGGUAGUCCACGCCGUAAACGAUGACUACUAGGUGUCGGGGAGCA